rnacentral:other from 1 species
GUUUCAUUACCCGUAUUAUCACGGGUUAAUUGCGAG